rnacentral:rRNA from 1 species
GUGCCAGCAGCCGCGGUAAUACGGAGGGCGCGAGCGUUAAUCGGAAUAACUGGGCGUAAAGGGCACGCAGGCGGAUUGUUAAGUGAGAUGUGAAAGCCCCGAGCUUAACUUGGGAAUUGCAUUUCAGACUGGCAAUCUAGAGUAUUUUAGGGAGGGGUAGAAUUCCACGUGUAGCGGUGAAAUGCGUAGAGAUGUGGAGGAAUACCGAAGGCGAAGGCAGCCCCUUGGGAAUAUACUGACGCUCAUGUGCGAAAGCGUGGGGAGCAAACAGGAUUAGAUACCCUGGUAGUCCACGCUGUAAACGAUGUUGAUUUGGGGAUUGGGCUUUAAGCUUGGUGCCCGUAGCUAACGUGAUAAAUCAACCGCCUGGGGAGUACGGCCGCAAGGUUAAAACUCAAAAGGAAUUGACGG